UGGUUUCAGGAUAAUGACGAAGAUGCACAUCUUCUUAGUCCUAAAGCUUUGUUCCCCUAUCUCCAUCUGGUAAUGGACAGACGGAUUUGCAUAUGAGGUAGCCAGAUCAUGUAAGGAUGAGCCGUACGUUCUUCUGAAAUCAUACUUUCUAUUCAAUAUGAGAAAAAUUGAGUUUUUUAAGAUGAUUAGCAUGGUCUUGGUGAGUGCAUGAAGGAGGAAGCAAGUUAAGUUAGAAAGUAUAAUCUAAUUGUGGUGAGUACUCCUAAUGACCACAAGCUAUUUGAGUAGGUGUGUAAGUUUCUUAUGAAAGUUCUGUUAUAGUUGCAUUUUUGCCUAUUUGUAUCAAGGUUGCUUCCUUAAGUUGAGGUGUUAUUAUAUUUUUUGUUGCUUAAUUAUGGUGAA